CACUUGAGAGUUUGAUCCUGGCUCAGAGCGAACGCUGGCGGCAGGCUUAACACAUGCAAGUCGAACGGGCGUAGCAAUACGUCAGUGGCAGACGGGUGAGUAACGCGUGGGAACGUACCUUUUGGUUCGGAACAACCCAGGGAAACUUGGGCUAAUACCGGAUAAGCNNUUACGGGGAAAGAUUUAUCGCCGAAAGAUCGGCCCGCGUCUGAUUAGCUUGUUGGUGAGGUAACGGCUCACNAAGGCGACGAUCAGUAGCUAGUCUGAGAGGAUGAUCAGCCACAUUGGGACUGAGACACGGCCCNAACUCCUACGGGAGGCAGCAGUGGGGAAUAUUGGACAAUGGGCGCAAGCCUNAUCCAGCCAUGCCGCGUGAGUGAUGAAGGCCNNAGGGUUGUAAAGCUNUUUUGUGCGGGAAGAUAAUGACGGUACCGCAAGAAUAAGCCCCGGCU
rnacentral:rRNA from 1 species